rnacentral:rRNA from 1 species
CAGCACGGGGGCAACCCUGGUGGCUAGUGGCGAACGGGUGAGUAAUACAUCGGAACGUGCCCAGUCGUGGGGGAUAACGUAGCGAAAGCUACGCUAAUACCGCAUACGAACUCUGGUUGAAAGCGGGGGAUCGCAAGACCUCGCGCGAUUGGAGCGGCCGAUGGCAGAUUAGGUAGUUGGUGGGGUAAAGGCCUACCAAGCCGACGAUCUGUAGCUGGUCUGAGAGGACGACCAGCCACACUGGGACUGAGACACGGCCCAGACUCCUACGGGAGGCAGCAGUGGGGAAUUUUGGACAAUGGGCGCAAGCCUGAUCCAGCCAUUCCGCGUGCAGGAUGAAGGCCCUCGGGUUGUAAACUGCUUUUGUACGGAACGAAAAGGCCUGAGUUAAUACCUCGGGCUCAUGACGGUACCGUAAGAAUAAGCACCGGCUAACUACGUGCCAGCAGCCGCGGUAAUACGUAGGGUGCAAGCGUUAAUCGGAAUUACUGGGCGUAAAGCGUGCGCAGGCGGUGAUGUAAGACAGGUGUGAAAUCCCCGGGCUUAACCUGGGAACUGCAUUUGUGACUGCAUCGCUGGAGUGCGGCAGAGGGGGAUGGAAUUCCGCGUGUAGCAGUGAAAUGCGUAGAUAUGCGGAGGAACACCGAUGGUGAAGGCAAUCCCCUGGGCCUGCACUGACGCUCAUGCACGAAAGCGUGGGGAGCAAACAGGAUUAGAUACCCUGGUAGUCCACGCCCUAAACGAUGUCAACUGGUUGUUGGGUCUUCACUGACUCAGUAACGAAGCUAACGCGUGAAGUU